rnacentral:rRNA from 1 species
UACGGAGGAUCCGAGCGUUAUCCGGAUUUAUUGGGUUUAAAGGGUGCGUAGGUGGUUUUAUAAGUCAGCGGUGAAAGUUUGCAGCUUAAACUGUAAAAAUGCCGUUGAAACUGUCGGACUUGAGUGUAAAUGAGGUAGGCGGAAUGCGUGGUGUAGCGGUGAAAUGCAUAGAUAUCACGCAGAACUCCGAUUGCGAAAGGCAGCUUACUAAAGCUACAACUGACACUGAAGCACGAAAAGCGUGGGGAUCAAAACAGGAUUAGAUACCCCUGUAGU